CAAAAAAAGAAACAACAAAUUGUUGUUUCUGGCCUUGAGAAACACUUCUUGGACGCUCCAAAGGAACAAAAAUGAAAAGAACAAAAAAACGAAACGGGAACACUUCGUUCGUUCGUGCUCUCCUUCGUUCGUCCCCUUCUCCUUCGUUCGUCCUCCUUCUCCGGUGACUCCUCACUCGGCCAACGCUCCGGCGAAGAACGACGCCGACACACCGGCUGUCUCCGGCAACUUUCCGGCGUGUCUCCCUUCUCUCCGGCACCUCCCACUCGGCCUCGUCUCUCCGGCGACUCCACCGGCUGAAGCUCCGAAUCCAGGCUGGUGAAGCACGUGGCGAGGGCGUUCAACGACGAUUUCACCACCAAGGGGGAGAACCAGCCGAAGUCGGGCUGCAGCGUGGUUGUGUGGCAUCGUAAGAAGGAACAAAAAAAGAGCAAAAAUGUUUUCAUGCGCUCCCUUGGAUUCUCCUCCUCCGGCGUGAGAGUGAUUACAGCAUUAUUGGCCUCCCGAAGAAGUUUCCUACGGGAAAAGAAUAUCUGACGCUGCCUCCAUAACCUGAUCACCGAUAGUCUGCAGGCUGGCACUGUCUUACACAUUAGCCAUCAAGUCCUGGCCCCUUAUGGCGAACCAGAUCGAACACCACCCAUUUCACCUCUUCCACAGUAACUGGCGGGGUGGAGAGAAGAUCAAUAUGCUCAAUAGAUGAAGUAGUACCGAUGGUGUCCCAAAGCAUCUGCAUCAAUCGAUGAAGCUUAUGUUAAGAACACUGAGAACAGAAGCUCCUCAUCUGAUGCUAUUAUUGAUACCAAGAAGAACAGGGGAAGCAAGAUAUACAAGAGCAAUAAAAAGAAAACAUAUGAAGAAGAGGAAGUAGAGUAUAUACAUGCUGCUAAGAAGAUAUGCUGCUGAGAAGAAUGAGAAGAGAACCUGUUUCGAACACUCUGUAUAGUGCUGCAAGUCUUGGCUAGUCUCGACAAUUAGUCUAGUGUAAUUCAGUUCUGGAAGUUAGUUAGUUUUUGCUUCAGUUAGUUAGUUAUAUUUUCUUCAACUGAUUCAAUACCUAUAAAAACAAAUUUCAGAGAUAGUCCUUGUGUAUAAAAGGCUAACUCUCGAUUGAAUGUUAAUAAUGGAAAGGAAAGAGAAAGAAGUCUUUCAUCUCAA